GUCAGGAUGGCCGAGCGGUCUAAGGCGCUGCGUUCAGGUCGCAGCCUCUCUUGGAGGCGUGGGUUCGAAUCCCACUUCUGACA
rnacentral:tRNA from 1 species